AGAGUUUGAUCAUGGCUCAGAGCGAACGCUGGCGGCAGGCCUAAAACAUGCAAGUCGAACGGAUCUCAGCCGCAAGGCUGAGGUCAGUGGCGAACGGCUGAGUAACACGUAGGUGACCUGCCCCGAAGUGGGGGACAACUCCUCGAAAGAGGGGCUAAUACCGCAUGUGACCACUCGUUCAUUCGAGUGCUCAAAGACGUAAGUCGCUUUGGGAGGGGCCUGCGGCGGAUCAGCUAGUUGGUGGGGUAAUGGCUCACCAAGGCUACGAUCCGUAGCUGGUCUGAGAGGACGGCCAGCCAGACUGGGACUGAGACACGGCCCAGACUCCUACGGGAGGCAGCAGUUAGGGAUCUUGUGCAAUGGGGGAAACCCUGACACAGCAACGCCGCGUGAGGGAUGAAGGCCUUCGGGUCGUAAACCUCUUUUCUGAGGGAAGAAACCUGACGGUACCUCAGGAAUAAGCAACGGCUAACUACGUGCUAGCCGCCGCGGUAAUAC
rnacentral:rRNA from 1 species